CUCUCAGAGUGGUGUUAGUACGAGCGACCCAUACUCUCAGAGUGGUGUUAGUACGAGCGACCCAUAUUCUCAGAGUGGUGACAGUACGAGCGACCCAUAUUCUCAGAGAGGUGUUAGUUUGAGCGACCCAUACUCUCAGAGAGAGAUACAACAGCAAAGAAAGAAAAGGAAAACAAAAUAUAAAUGCAACAUGUAAAGUGUUGGUCAAAAGUAGUGCACUAUGUAGGGAAUAGGGUGCCAUUUGAGACACAUUCUACAUACAUACUCUUCUUAGUCGUAUGGCUGAGCCCAUUAUAGUGUAGCUAGCAUCGUUCCAGUCACAGCCUCUGUGUACUACACCAUGUGAUGGAUCAACAUGUAGCUAGCUAGCAUCGUUCCAGUCAGUGUACUGUACAAUAAUUCAGCAUGACCUUCAUUACAUGUUUGUUAUUCUAGAGUGAGUUCUUUAUUCAACAACAACUAGAUUGAGUGAGUUGUUUACCAAUAUAAAAUUAUAAUUUUAUUUCUAACUCAGCCAAUGAGUUCAACAUAUCCAUACCUUAUUUCUGGAAGAUAACAUUUGUCCGUAUAUCAAAUAUUUUUUGGGUGGGGUGGUACAGUCUGAACAUUUGUUCAACAUCUAAACAUGAUAAGAAGUCCUUAUCAAUGUUUUCCUAGCUGUCAUGAGGACAUCGCUCUGAUUUAGAUUUAUUGUCAUGUAUGUGUUAAAUGUUAAAUCUUUUUUUUUGUGUGUCAUCUUUAUAAAUUAUUUACAACGCUAUAACAUUCACAGAAAGAUAGUAAAGCCUUCUUCGGCCGUACAUGUAAGCUUCAAAUUAGACAAACGUAGCUAAAUAUCGAUAUUUUCAUUCAUUAUAUGCUUGUCUUGAAAGGUUUCAAUUGUACAUGUUUCUUUGCAAUGAUAAUGAUAUAAAUUCAGAUAUCAAAUAACUGUGUAUAUAAACCACAAACAUUGAAUAUAAAAAAAAACGGUGAAAUUCCUAUAUUCUUCACAUUUAUGAAUCAUGUGGUCUCCUGAACAUUUCCACUGCAGUCUUCCCCAGCAUCAGUACACUAGAAAAAAAGAGGAACAUUUAUUACAUCUACAUUUUAGUCAUUUAGCAGACGCUCUUAUCCAGAGCAACUUACAGUAGUGAAUACAUACAUUUCAAUUCAUUUCAUUUUUCCCCCCCGUCUAUGUUCUGGGAUUAGUGGAAGAACAGUCAGCUCAUUUACAAACAUUGGAAUGUCUGCCAUGCUAGGGGUGUUACCAUUCCCUCUACCUGUCUACCAUGGUGGGGGUGUUACCAUUCCCUCUACCUGUCUACCAUGGUGGGGGUGUUACCAUUCCC
rnacentral:lncRNA from 1 species